rnacentral:misc_RNA from 1 species
UAGCAUGGAGGCUAGAUUAUGGCACCCUUCCUAUCCAAUCAACAACAAGAACGUUUAAAAUUUCGCACCUAUCAUGUCGAAGCUACAGACCACUUAUGUGGAGGCCAGAUUUGUAGUAUCCUUCCAUUUAACCAGGUGCUGAGAUGGCGCUGAAAUACGUGACAUGUUUUUUAAAGAGUAAGUUCGCGUUCUACCAAAUCACACAACACUUUUUUUCUAUGGUUUUGAUAAUAAUGGAAGCAACACAAAAACAAUAUUACAAAUAUUGUGUCGUUCCUAUGUGUUCCAAUACCACUUAUAAAACGCCCGAAAAGCUAUUUCUUCGUGUACCUCAAGACAAAAAACGUCGUUUAAAAUGGUUAAAGGCAUGCAGAAGAAAUGGGAACGAUUUUUCACAGAAGACGACAGUCCACGUAUGUGAGGAGCAUUUUAAUUUGGAAAAUGAUAUGGAAAAUUAUAUCAGAUUCAAACUUAUGGGUGGCCUAAAGAAGAUGAAAUUAGAUGUUGUCCCUCACAUAUUUAAUUUUAAAUCAGAUGGGGAAAAAGCCCAUUCUAAUUAUCCCAGAAAAGCAAUGGUUAUGGAAGGUAAACUUAACAUUAAGGAAGAAUUUGGGGAACAUGAACACACAUCUAUGGAAAAUCAGCUAUCAGCCUCAAUCGAUCUGGACAACAUUAAAAACGAACCAGAAGAAACAAAUUACUCAGUUAUGGAAGGUAAACUUGAAAUCAAGGAAGAAUUUGAAGAACAUGAACACAGAUGUAUGGAGAAUCAGCUACCAGCCUCAAUAGAUCUUGAAAACUAUAAAGACGAACCAGAGGAAAUAAAUUACUCAGUUAUGGAAGGUAAACUUGAAAUCAAGGAAGAAUUUGAAGAACAUGAACACAUAUGUAUGGAGAAUCAAAUACCAGCCUCAAUAUAUCUUGAAAACUAUAAAGACGAACCAGAGGAAAUAAUUUAUUCAGUCAUGGAAGAACUUAAAAUAAAGGAAGAAUUUGAGAAACGUCAAUACACAUGUGUGGAGAAUCAGAUACCAGCCUCAAUAGAUCUUGAAAACUAUAAAGACGAACCAGAGGAAAUAAAUUACUCAGUUAUGGAAGGUAAACUUGAAAUUAAAAAAGAAUUUGAGGAACAUGAACACAUAUGUAUGAAGGAUCCGCUAUCCACCCCGAUAGAUCUUGACAACUGUAAAAACGAAUCCGAAAAAACAAAUUACUCAGCUAUGGAAGGUACAUUUGAAAUUAAAAAAGAAUUUGAGGAACAUGAACUCAUAUGUAUGGAGGAUCCACUGUCCACCGCGAUACAUCUUGACAACUGUAAAAACGAAUCAGAAGAAACGGAUUACUCAGGAGAGAUUCAUAAUUCAGGCUUUCUCCAAACUGAAAAUGCAUCGCAAGUAGUGAUAACAUCGCCUGAGUAUUUAUGUAGUACAGAACAAUUUAUGAAUCCACCUCCUGAAGAAAAAACAACGAAGAACGAAAAUCUGAUAACACUUACCGGUCAAAUUGUCAAAUGUAAAGUUUGUUUUAAGCAGUUUCCACAAUUGAGUACUUUGAGAAUACACUUAAGAACGCACACAGAAGAAAAACCCCACAAGUGUGAAAGUUGUUUUAAGCAAUUUUUUCUAUUCGCGGAUUUAAAAAGGCAUCUGAGAACGCACACGGGAGAAAAACCUCACAAGUGCGAAAUUUGUUUUAAGGAGUUUUCACAAAUAAAUAAUUUGAGAACUCAUUUAAGAACGCAUGCGGGAGAAAAACCUCACAAGUGUGAAAUUUGUUUUAAGCAAUUUAGUCAAGUAGGUAAUUUAAAAAGACAUUUGAGAACGCACACGGGAGAAAAACCUCACAAGUGUGAAAUUUGUUUUAAACAAUUUUCUGUAUUAGAAAAAUUAAAACAACAUUUGAGAACGCACACGGGAGAGAAACCACACACGUGCGAAAUUUGUUUUAAGCCGUUUUCUGUAUUAGUAAAUUUAAAAAGACAUUUGAGAAGGCACACGGGAGAAAAACCUCACAAGUGCGAAAUUUGUUUUGAGUCAUUUUCUCUAUUGGAAAAUUUGAAACAACAUUUGAGAACGCACACGGGAGAACAACCUCACAAAUGCAAAAUUUGUUUCAAGCAAUUUUCUGUAUUGGAAAAUUUAAAAGAACAUUUGAGAACGCACACGGGAGAAAAACCUCACACCUGCGAAAUUUGUUUUAAGUCAUUUUCUGUAUUAGCAAAUUUAAAAAGACAUUUGAAAACGCACACGGGAGAAAAACCUCACACGUGUGAAAUUUGUUUUAAGCCAUUUUCUCUGUUAGCGGAUUUAAAAACACAUAUGAGGACUCACACGGGAGAAAAACCUCACAAGUGCCAAAUUUGUUUGAAGCCAUUUUCUCUAUUAACAAAUUUAAAACAACAUUUGAGAACGCACACGAGAGAAAAACCUCACACCUGCGAAAUUUGUUUUAAGUCAUUUUCUGUAUUAGCAAAUUUAAAAAGACAUUUGAGAACGCACACGGGAGAAAAACCUCACAAGUGUGAAAUUUGUUUUAAGCCAUUUUCUCUGUUAGCGGAUUUAAAAACACAUAUGAGGACUCACACGGGAGAAAAACCUCACAAGUGCCAAAUUUGUUUGAAGCCAUUUUCUGUAUUAACAAAUUUAAAAAGACAUUUGAAAACGCACUUUUUUUUAGAAAGACAAAUUGUCUUCAAUAAGUAAUUUGAAAACUCAUUUGAGAACGCACACGGGAGAAAAAUCUCACAAAUGUGAAAUUUGUUUUUAGACCACUCAUCAGCGGUAAAAAAACUGUAAAACCGUGAAAUUUUGAGAACCAACACCGAUUUUACUGAAAAUUUGGGUUUAAACUCGAUUGACCCUCUUCUUCAAAAUCUACACUAUGCCGAACCAGGCUUUUUCCCUGGGGGGUGAAAACAACCCCAUCUAAAGGAUAAAAAAUGUUUCAAUCAAAAUAACUAUGGAAAUCGAUAGUGACCAAUUCUGAGUAAAUUUUGUUCUGUAAAUUUUUUUUUGCAAAAUUAAUACUUUCCAAAUUAUUAGCGAUUGAAACUAUGCAUUUUUCAUUGAAAAAACUCACGUUUUAUAACCGUUUUUUAUGAAUAACUGAAAAAAAUUUAAAUUUUAUAGAAAAAAUCAUAAAAUUUUGACUAAUAAAAAAAUAAAGAGAUUCGCGUCGAAAAAACCCAUGUAAACCCAAUGACGACUGAGUUAUUGCUCUUUAAAGGAUGGUUAUUUUCGAAGAACAUCGAAAUGGAGAACCUUCAAUCUCAAAUAACUCAUAAGUUCAUUAAAAAACCUUUCAAAUAAGCUCUGACAAGUUUUUUGCAUAAGAACUGACUGACUUAUGACGAAAAUAAAGUCGCUAUCUGCUUUUUUCUUUUUGAAAUGUAACAAUAAAACCCUCGUCAAUACAAUCCUAAUAGAAAUGAAUAGGUUCCCACUUAAAAUCAACUUUAUUUAGAUAUAAUUGAUACGAUCCAUCUAAUUUGACUGGUUUUAAAAAUCUUAGUUUAGUAAAAAUAGUUGAUUAAAUCGAAAAUGACAUUUUUAUAAUUAAAGAAAAAGUGCAUUUUUCUUAAAUAAACCUAAAAGUAUUCAUGAUACAAUAACAAAAAAAAAUCAAAAUUUUCAGUAAAAGAAAUCCUAGAAUUAAUAUUUGAAACAUUUUUUUCAUAUUAUGAGUACUUUUAGAUUUAAUUAAGAAAAAUUCACUUUUUUUUAAUUAUAAAAAUGUUAUUUUCGAUUUAAUCAACUAUUUUUUCUAAACUAAGCAUUCCAAACCGGUCAAAUCUCAUGGAUUGUAUCAAUUAUACCUAAAUAAAGUUAAUUUCAAGUGGGAUGCUAUUCAUUUAUAUUAGGAUUGUAGUGACGAGGGUUCAAUUUUUACAUUUCAAAAAGAAAAAAGCAGAGAGCAAUAACUCAGUCGUUAUUGGGUUUACAUAUGUGUGUGUGAGAGAAAAAAUGGCUUGGAUGCGGGUCCGUUAGCCACAGAUUUUUAUUUUAUUUUUACCUCAAUUUAUUAGUUUUGUUAUAUUUAUACCUAUUUCACUUAAAUGACUAUAUUUGUUUCUCUCAAGUAGUUAAUGAGUAAUUUAAAUAUUUCCAUUUUAUGACAACUUAUUAGAUAUUCUAUACUAAUUGGAAAAUGAACUGGUCUUUCCGAGGCGAAUCUCUUUGCUUUUUUAUUAGCUACAAUUUUGUUCUUAAUGAUUUUUUCUUUAAAAUUCAAUUUUUUUAAGUUAUUCAUAAAAAACGGUUAUAAAACGUGAGUUUUUUCAAUGAAAAAUGCAUAAUUUCAAUCGCUAAUAACUUGGAAAGUAUCAACUUUGCAAAAAAAAUUUAUAGAAUAAAAUUUACUCAGAAUUGAUCAAUCCAUCGACUUUGAUUGAAAAAUAGUUUCAUCCUCUAGAUGGGGUUGUUUUCACCACCAGGGCAAAGCCCGGUUUGGUAUAGGGUAGAUUUUGACAAAGGUUAUAAUUACUACCUAAAUCCAAACUUUCAAGGAAAUCGACCUUGAUUAUCAAAAUUCCAUGAGAAAAUGGCUGUUCAUUGGACUAUUUAAGCAAUUUAGUGAAGCAGGCAAUUUAAAAAGACAUUUGAGGACACACGCGAGAGAAAAACAACCAGUGCAAAAUUUGUUUUAGGCAAUUUUGAGAAAACAUUGGAAACACACACUGGAAAAACACCAUACAAGUAUUAUCUAUACAAUUUAUGUUAUACAAUUGGUUUUAAACCGUUUUCAGAAUGGCAACCUUAAAAAUCCAUUUGAGAACACACAUGGGAGAAAAACACAAGUGUGAAAUUUGUUUUAGGCAAUUUUCUGUAUUAGAAAAAUUAAAAGCAUUUGAGAACGCACACGGGGAAAACACCACAAGUGUGAAAUUUGUUUUAAGCCGUUUUCUCUGUUAUCGGAUUUAAAAACACAUAAUAUGAGGACUCACACGGGAGAAAAACCUCACAAGUGCCAAAUUUGUUUUAAGCCAUUUUCUGCAUUAGCAAAUUUAAAAAGACAUUUGAAAAUGCACUUUUUUUAGAAAGACAAAUUUUCUUAAAUAAGUUAUUUGAGAACGCGCACGGGAGAAAAAUCUCACGAGUGCAAAAUUUGUUUCAAACCGUUUUCUAUAUUGGAAAAUUUGAGAACGCACACGGAAGAAAAACCUCACCUGCGAAAUUUGUUUUAAGUCAUUUUCUGUAUUAGCAAAUUUAAAAAGACACAUGAGAACGCACACGGGAGAAAAACCUCACAAGUGUGAAAUUUGUUUUAAGCUAUUUUCUCUGUUAGCGGAUUUAAAAACACAGAUGAGGACUCACACGGGAGGAAAACCUCACAAGUGCCAAAUUUGUUUUAAGCCAUUUUCUGUAUUAGCAAAUUUAAAAAGCCAUUUGAAAACGCACUUUUUUUAGAAAGACAAAUUUUCUUAAAUAAGUAAGUAAUUUGAGAACGCCCACGGGAGAAAAAUCUCACAAGGGUGAAAUUUGUUUUGAAUUUUGAAUUUGUUAUUUCUCAUGUUGUUAAAUAUUGCUCUGGCCUUAAGUUUUGCUCACAAGCGCUCAUUUUGUUUUAUUUAUGUUGAGAUUAAGUCCUUUUUCUUCACUCGCUCUUUGUAUCCUGUCCAUAAGAUGCAAUUCAUCGAUACAGCUGGCAAGUACGACUGUAUCGUCCGCAUAUCGUUUUACGCGGACUUUAUAAUGGCCAUUGGCAUGGUACAGUUGAUUUUACAAUCAGAUACCUAGCGUGUACGUAGGGUAUCAGGUACGUAGCGUGUGUUGAGUAAAAGUCUUGUGACUUUGAAAAGUCGACGUCAUUGUCUAAUAUUCGACGUCAUUGUUAGUCGACGUCAUUGUCGACCAAUGAUAAACGUCAAAAUUCACAGUAAACAAGGGACGUAAAAAUAUACAGUAGACUACCUCUAUAUCGAGAACUUAAAUGGCGGACUAAUUACCUCGUUAUAAGCGGAUCUCGUUAUAUCAGACAACAAUAAUAUUGUGGAUACAUAUGAGUAUGUAGUUUUCUAAAUCAUUAACUUCCUAUAGUGAAUCCAUUCGGAGCAAUAUAAGAUGCUAAAUAUUGUUUCCUCAACAAUAAGGCUUCACCAUAAUAAAUUGUAAAUUUUCUUAUAAUAUUCAAUAUCGGUCGAUAGAUAAACUGAACAGGAAGAAGUUUAUUAUAGGCGGUGGAUUUUAUUACAGCACUAUCCUCGAUAACGACACAUCUUGAGGAUUUCUGUAUACCUACACUCAGUUGGGGUAUUUAGUUAUAGCCAUUACAGCGCUAAAAACAGGUAAAGAUACAUAUUCUACGAUUUCAUUUUUCCUCGUUAUAACCAAAUAUGGUUCUUUAUAGAGGUGUUACAGUUUAAUAGGAAUUUCAUGGGACACCUAGUGUACCUCGUUAUAGAGAGAGUCUACUGCGCUAAUAAAAAUACCUCGAAGUUAAUUAUUAAAAUAUAUUAAAAUAAUAAGUAUUGUAUUAAAUAAACAAAUGUGUAAGUAAUUUUAUAACUAGUAUUCUUUUAUUAUUUAUGAUUAUAUGUUUUAGGAAAAACGCUGGAAAAAUAUAUAAAAAACUUGUUUAGAAAUGUAUCCCAACGUCCACUGUAUGUAAAUUCUUACAAGAGGCUCGUUAAUAAUAUUCAGCUCACCGGAAUGCUAUUGUUCGAGGUGUGAAAUUAUAUACACAAGGGAUCAAUUCAUAAAACAGGUAGAUCACUUUUUUAUGGCAUUUUACACCUUGAACAAUAGCAUCCCGCUCAGCUGAAUAUUAAUGAGUUUCUUUAUGUCUGGUUGCACCGACAGAUAUACUACAGAUAGACUUACCUUAAGCUUAAAUGAGAGCCAGAGUGGCCUAACUGAUUUUAACAUUACUUUACAUAAUCAAUGAAAAUGAUCAGAAGCUAUCAAUGUCCGAUUGUUUUAGUAAUUGUAUGUUGACCAAUAAUGAUUCUUGGUCAACGUAAAACUACUAAAACAAUCAGACAUUGUUAGCUUCUGAUUAUUUUCUUUGGUUAUGUAAAGUAAUGUUAAAAUCAGUUAGGCCACUCUUGGUUUCAUGGCCUCAAAUAUAAAUGUAAAUUCAGAUGCUGGUGCCACACUAGCGUCUAAUACCGUUAAUUAUCGCAUUAUUUGACAUAUUUCUAAUGCAAAUAAUACGAUAAUUAACGGUAUUAGAUGCUAGUGUGGCCCCAGUAUUAAAGUAUAAGCUGACCUUAGCUAAGAUGGAGCUUAAGAUCGGUUGGUGCAACUAAGCAUUAGUUCUCUUGUUCGACUAUAGAUCAUUAUUAUCUUUAAUAUUCAACAAAGUUCUUUAUAUUGUAAGGUUUAAUUGUGUAUAAUCCAGCAGUAUGUUUUUUGAUAUAUAUGAGUUUUGAUAUUUUCUGUGAAAUAUUUUGUAAAUUAAAGCUUUCCCUAUAGUAAAACACCGAUUUUUA